AUGGGGACGAAGAAGCCGUGGCUCCUCUGCCUCGCCGUCGUUGCCAUCGCGGCCGUCCUUCUGACCGCUUCGGCCAAGAAGUCCGCGGAUGUUACACAGCUCCAGAUCGGCGUCAAGUACAAGCCUGAAUCAUGUACCCUACAGGCUCACAAAGGUGACAAGAUUAAAGUGCAUUAUCGUGGGACACUCACUGAUGGAUCAGUAUUUGACUCUAGCUAUGACAGAGGUGAUCCCUUCGAAUUCACUCUUGGGAAUGGGCAGGUGAUAAAAGGUUGGGACCAAGGUUUACUAGGUAUGUGUGUCGGCGAAAAGCGGAAGCUAAGAAUACCCGCAAACAUGGGUUACGGCGAGCGAGGCUCCCCACCAAAGAUUCCAGGUGGUGCAACUCUGGUUUUCGACACGGAGCUCAUCGCCGUCAAUGGGAAGACAUCUGCUGGCGCCACCGCGGAGGGUGACGACAGCGAGCUUUGA
rnacentral:rRNA from 1 species